GAGUUUGAACCUGGCUCAGGACGAACGCUGGCGGCGCGCCUAACACAUGCAAGUCGAACGGAGUUAUAGGAACAGCUUGCUGGGAAUAUAACUUAGUGGCGGACGGGUGAGUAACACGUGAGCAACCUGCCUUUCAGAGGGGAAUAACGUUUGGAAACGAACGCUAAUACCGCAUAACAUUGGGAUAUGGCAUCAUGACCCAAUCAAAGAUUUAUCGCUGAAAGAUGGGCUCGCGCCCGAUUAGGUAGUUGGUGAGAUAAUAGCCCACCAAGCCGACGAUCGGUAGCCGGACUGAGAGGUUGAACGGCCACAUUGGGACUGAGACACGGCCCAGACUCCUACGGGAGGCAGCAGUGGGGGAUAUUGCACAAUGGGGGGAACCCUGAUGCAGCGACGCCGCGUGAGGGAAGACGGUUUUCGGAUUGUAAACCUCUGUCUUUAGGGACGAAACAAAUGACGGUACCUAAAGAGGAAGCCACGGCUAACUACGUGCCAGCAGCCGCGGUAAUACGUAGGUGGCAAGCGUUGUCCGGAAUUACUGGGUGUAAAGGGAGCGUAGGCGGGAAUGCAAGUUGAAUGUUUAAACUAUGGGCUCAACCCAUAGUCGCGUUCAAAACUGCAUUUCUUGAGUGGAGUAGAGGCAGGCGGAAUUCCUAGUGUAGCGGUGAAAUGCGUAGAUAUUAGGAGGAACACCAGUGGCGAAGGCGGCCUGCUGGGCUCUAACUGACGCUGA
rnacentral:rRNA from 1 species